rnacentral:lncRNA from 1 species
AUGCCUGGACACAACCGACGGAUUAGGGUGAAGCACAUGAUGUCUGCAGAACAUCUUCUGCGGGCUCUUCUGAGAGCAAACAUCUCGUUAGAUGUUAAGGCUCUAAAACAGAGAGCUCCGUUCUGUCUCCAGCCAAGUGCUGUGUCUCACAUCAUGUCUCCGUUCUGUCUCCAGCCAAGUGUCUCACAUCGUGUCUUGCGUCUCACAUCGUGUCUCCGUUCUGUCUCCAGCCAAGUGUUGUGUCUCACAUCGUGUCUCCGUUCUGUCUCCAGCCAAGUGCUGUGUCUCACAUCAUGUCUCCGUUCUGUCUCCAGCCAAGUGUCUCACAUCGUGUCUCCGUUCUGUCUCCAGCCAAGUGUCUCACAUCGUGUCUUGCGUCUCACAUCGUGUCUCCAUUCUGUCUCCAGCCAAGUGCUGUGUCUCACAUCGUGUCUCCGUUCUGUCUCCAGCCAAGUGUCUCACAUCGUGUCUUGCGUCUCACAUCGUGUCUCCGUUCUGUCUCCAGCCAAGUGUCUCACAUCGUAUCUUGCGUCUCACAUCACGCCUCCGUUCUGUCUCCAGCCAAGUGUUCUGUCUCACAUCGUGUCUCCGUUCUGUCUCCAGCCAAGUGUUGUCUCACAUUGUGUCUCCAUUGUGUCUCCAGCCAAGUGUUGUGUCUCCGUUCUGUCUCCAGCCAAGUGUCUCACAUCGUGUCUUGCGUCUCACAUUGUGUCUCCGUUCUGUCUCCAGCCAAGUGUUGUGUCUCACAUCGUGUCUCCGUUCUGUCUCCAGCCAAGUGUUGUGUCUCACAUCGUGUCUCCGUUCUGUCUCCAGCCAAGUGUUGUCUCAUGUUGUGUCUCUGUUCUGUCUCCAGCCAAGUGUUGUGUCUCACAUCGUGUCUCCGUUCUGUCUCCAGCCAUGUUUUGGGUCUCACAUCCUGUCUCAUGUCUCAUAUUGUGUUUCUGUUCUGUCUCCAGCCAAGUGUUGUGUCUCACAUUGUGUCUCCGUUCUGUCUCCAGCCAUGUGUUUUGUGUCUCACAUCCUGUCUCAGGUUGUGUCUCUGUUCUGUCUCCAGCCAAGUGUUGUGUCUCACAUCGUGUCUCCGUUCUGUCUCCAGCCAUGUUUUGCGUCUCACAUCCUGUCUCAUGUCUCACAUUGUGUUUCCGUUCUGUCUCUUCAGCCUUCUGA